CGUACCCUAGCAGGCCGCAAUGUUUGCUGUACCUCCAGCCGUGAAGUGGGGGCUGCGGGGGGUUGGGGCGGCGGGACAGAGCUCUGACACCUCACAGCCUGACCCUGUCCAAGCAGGCCCCUUACAUACCCUGAGCGCGAGGGGAAGCACUGCCCAUGAGAGCUCACGGCUGGCACUGACGUCCAGGAUGGGCACUGGGCUGCCUCCCUCACAUGUGGGUUCCUCCUGAACAUUAGCCGGAAACAUCUGCGGCCAGAGCCGAGCCAAGGUGUUCCAUGUUCCUGACUGCACCCUCAUGCUGGGUCCUCCAGUGCACCCUUGGCUGAACUCUCACAGCUGCAUGCUCUGCCCUCUCAGGGACACCCAGCCUGGCCUGCCAGGCCUUCUUUGGAAAUUUGGGCGGAAGCCUUCCUGACUCAACUCUUGUGUUCUGCAUACCUGUGAAAACAGCACCCUGUAGAUGACACAAAGUUCUACCACUGGCUCCAAGCAGUCCUUAGGCCUUUGUGCAUCAUGGCUGCAGAAGCAUCCAUGGGCCUGGAUGGCUGAGCACCGUGAACUGAAUGAAUCCCAGGGAACCCGCCGAGGUGGCCCUUCUCAAGCAGGGUGCCCUGGGGCUCUCCUCUCCAAACAAAGUCUUUCCCUUUUGCAACUGUGAGCCUUGGAAAGCUUGGGCCUUGUGGGUUCCUUAUAUGUCUUCAGGGCAUCUUUUCCAUUGUCCUAUUGUAAAGUACUUGGAUUCUUUUUAAUGCUAAUCUUUAAUCCACCAGGCUGUCCAUUGCUCCAUCUUUACAGGCCUUUCUUGGGGGUGGGGGUGGGGGUGGGGGGCUGAAAAGUUUUCAAAUGGGCUUUUGCUCCUCAUUUUCCGCACAAACCUGGCUCAAAGUAGCAAGCAGCAUCCAUGCUACGGCCUGAUAUUUAGGCUACCUUGAUAUUUUCUCCAUCAGAUGAAUGAUCCUUCCACCCUUCGUAUCAGUCUCACACAAAUCUCAGGACAUGAACACAAUACAGUCCUAUUUUCUGCUGGAGCACAACACACAUGGCC
rnacentral:lncRNA from 1 species